rnacentral:rRNA from 1 species
UACGUAGGGUGCAAGCGUUAUCCGGAAUUAUUGGGCGUAAAGAGCUCGUAGGCGGUUUGUCGCGUCUGCUGUGAAAACUGGAGGCUCAACCUCCAGCCUGCAGUGGGUACGGGCAAACUAGAGUGGCGGUAGGGGAGAUUGGAUCCUGGUGUAGCGGUGGAAUGCGCAGAUAUCAGGAGGAACACCGAUGGCGAAGGCAGAUCUCUGGGCCGUAACUGACGCUGAGGAGCGAAAGCAUGGGGAGCGAACAGG